GUACUGCUGAAGAGUCUCAAACUAGGACGAAACAACUGUCAAGUAC
rnacentral:hammerhead_ribozyme from 1 species